CCUACGGGAGGCAGCAGUGGGGAAUUUUCCGCAAUGGGCGAAAGCCUGACGGAGCAAGACCGCGUGGGGGAGGAAGGCCCUUGGGUUGUAAACCCCUUUUAUCAGGGAAGAAACAAAUGACGGUACCUGAUGAAUCAGCCUCGGCUAACUCCGUGCCAGCAGCCGCGGUAAUACGGAGGAGGCAAGCGUUAUCCGGAAUUAUUGGGCGUAAAGCGUCCGCAGGUGGCUAAUCAAGUCCGCGGUUAAAGACCGGAGCUCAACUCCGGAGCAGCCGUAGAAACUGAAAAGCUAGAGACCGGUAGGGGUAGUGGGAAUUCCCAGUGUAGCGGUGAAAUGCGUAGAGAUUGGGAAGAACAUCGGUGGCGAAAGCGCACUACUGGGCCGGUUCUGACACUGAGGGACGAAAGCUAGGGUAGCGAAAGGGAUUAGAUACCCCUGUAGUCCUAGCCGUAAACGAUGGAUACUAGGCGUGGCUUGUAUCGACCCGAGCCGUGCCGAAGCUAACGCGUUAAGUAUCCCGCCUGGGGAGUACGCACGCAAGUGUGAAACUCAAAGGAAUUGACGGGGGCCCGCACAAGCGGUGGAGUAUGUGGUUUAAUUCGAUGCAACGCGAAGAACCUUACCAGGGCUUGACAUGUCGCGAAUCUUGGGGAAACCCGAGAGUGCCUUCGGGAACGCGAACACAGGUGGUGCAUGGCUGUCGUCAGCUCGUGUCGUGAGAUGUUGGGUUAAGUCCCGCAACGAGCGCAACCCUCGUCCUUAGUUGCCAGCACUUUCGGGUGGGAACUCUAGGGAGACUGCCGGUGACAAACCGGAGGAAGGUGGGGAUGACGUCAAGUCAUCAUGCCCCUUACGCCCUGGGCGACACACGUACUACAAUGGUUGGGACAAAGGGCAGCGACCCCGCGAGGGCAAGCGAAAUCUCAGCAAACCCAGCCCUCAGUUCAGAUCGCAAGCUGCAACUCGCCUGCGUGAAAGAGGUAUCGCUAGUAAUCGCCCGUCAAGCAUACGGCUGGUGGAAAUUCGUUCCCGGGCCCUUGUACCACACCCGGUCCGUUCAACCAUGUAAGCUUGGCCAGGCCCGGAAGUCGUUACUCUCUAACCUUUAUUUCAGGAAGGUCGCCCGAAG
rnacentral:rRNA from 1 species